UGGGUUAUAUGGUGGAUGU
rnacentral:siRNA from 1 species